rnacentral:lncRNA from 1 species
AAGCCAGAAAGCAGAGGGGAGGAAGCUCCACCGUCAUGAGAAUGGGAAGCAGAGGCAGCGGCAGCGUGCACAGACAUCCUUUGAAGGUUUGUUAUAAACACAGAAACUGAUGUCUGGGAAAAGUUUUAACAGGCACACCUUUAACAUUCAUUUUCGACCCACUGAAGAGGAGAUGAGCUUAUUGGCUGGUGCACCUUGACAGCAUGUAGGUGGAAAACAGGACAUUCAGUCUUUGGUGCAGAGUGGGAGAUACUUAUGAACCAUUUUAGCACAUUUCAGGACCAUGUAACAAAAUCAACACUGCAUUGAAGUGGCAUCAGGAAGAUCCAUCCACAGAAGCAAUGUCUGCUAUGCAGGAAGCAGCUUCAUCAAGGUGGAAGCAGGUCUGUGCUUCCAGGCUGGCCAGUAUCGUUCAUGAAAACAGCACAUUGUGGCUGACUAUGGUUUGAAGAAACAAAGGAAGCCAAAGAAAACAAAAAAUGCUAACGGAGAAUUUAAUCCAUCUCUCAGAGGUGGAAGAAGUUUCAUUUGAAUUGCUCCCUGUUCUUUUACUCUUCUUUCCCCCGAAAGGGAGUGUGGUAGAUUGAGUUUAGAAGACAGCCCUGAACAUGUAUGGUUCAGCCCUUUUGCUCCAUUUUGUCUUGGAGAAGGGCUGGAUUCUGUGCUAUUCUCCUGUGCUUUAAGUUUUGUAGCUACGGGAUUUAUCUAACACAGCCUGACUGGUUUGGAAAGUCUGUCUUAUUUUGAUGUUUUCUGUUACCUAGCCCGCUAACAUUUUUUUCAAGAAAUAUAGCUAGUAUUGUCUCCCUCUCUCUGACUCCUAUUUCUAUUUCUUUGUUGGUUCUAAGCAUGGGUGGUCAAGAGAUGUAUUGAUUUAUCACGUUCCUUCAAACCCUUACACAGUUGUACUGAAAAAGGAUAGGAGUUUUCAUUGGGAUGGAAGUCCUGUGUGUAGUUACGCAGAUUGCCCUCAUUCAGACGCUGCUGGGAAAACCAUAGAUUUUUGUUCCUCUAACAAUGUUGUUGUCAUCUCUGUACAGGAAGAAACUUAGGAUGCUUUAUGUGAUGAUAUUGAAAUUUUUACAAUAGAGACAUGCAAAUAUGGGCAAAACAGUUGCUCAAAAACUGAACACCAAUGGAAAUGUCAUCUCAAACUUUCUGGAAUUUUGAAUUUCAGUGAGCUAUUAGAGAAAGGGAGAGGGAGAGCAAAAUACACAGUAAGAAACAUUUGCAACAAACUGGGAUCUGCUUUUUCCUAAGUUAUGUGCUGUCUGCUUAGUAAUUUCCAUAAGCAUCACAUCAGUCCGUGAUUAAAUACAUUUCAAAUCUCAGAAGCCAUACGAUUUUUUUUAAAGUCAUACAGCUACUGAGGGG